GCUGUUGCUGCUGCUGCAGUUGCUGUUGCUGUUGCUGCUGCUGCAGCUGCUGUUGUUGUUGCUGCUGCUGCAGCUGCUGUUGUUGUUGCUGCUGCUGCAAGUGUUGAUGCUGUUGCUGCUGCUGCAGCAGCUGUUGCUGCUGGUGCAGCUGUUGUUGCUGUUGCUGCUGCUGCAGCUGCAAUUGC